rnacentral:rRNA from 1 species
AAGUCGUAACAAGGUUUCCGUAGGUGAACCUGCGGAAGGAUCAUUACCGAGUGAGGGUUCCUCGCGAGCCCAACCUCCCACCCGUGUUUACUGUACCCUGUUGCUUCGGUGGGCGCCCCCCCGGGGGAGUCCGCCGGAGACCACACGAACACUGUCUGAGAGCAUUGCAGUCUGAGUUGAUUGAUACCAAUCAGUUAAAACUUUCAACAAUGGAUCUCUUGGUUCCGGCAUCGAUGAAGAACGCAGCGAACUGCGAUAAGUAAUGUGAAUUGCAGAAUUCAGUGAAUCAUCGAGUCUUUGAACGCACAUUGCGCCCCCUGGUAUUCCGGGGGGCAUGCCUGUCCGAGCGUCAUUGCUGCCCUCAAGCCCGGCUUGUGUGUUGGGUCGCCGUCCCCCCGGGGACGGGCCCGAAAGGCAGCGGCGGCACCGCGUCCGGUCCUCGAGCGUAUGGGGCUUUGUCACCCGCUCUGUAGGGCCGGCCGGCGCCUGCCGACCUCCAACCUAUUCUUUCCAGGUUGACCUCGGAUCAGGUAGGGAUACCCGCUGAACUUAA